rnacentral:snRNA from 1 species
AUCUGUUCUUAACAGUUUAAUAUCUGAUACAUCCCCUACCUGCAUAUUGAAUGGAUUUUUGGAUCACGGAGCUGCCGCUGGAGCCGGAGCCGGAGCCGGGGCUUGCUCCGUCCACUCCACGCUUCAGCCUGGUAUUGCAGUGUCUCCAGAAACGGUGU